CAAAGCACUUUGAAGAGAGAGUUAAAGAGGACGUGAAACCGGUAGGAUGGAAACGGAUAGAGCCAGCGAAGCCGUUUGUAUUUCAGCCAAAGGCCCGAUCCUGCCUGGUGCUGUGUUUUUAAUCGAGCACGGUGCCGGUGCCUGGGUUUGGUCGAGGUGCAUUUGCAGACGAUUGCGCUGAGACUUGUGGUGCAGCUGCUGGACACGCGUCUAGAGGCUUCCCUUUGGGUUGAACCUGGGCGUGGAUACAGCUGUUUGCGCUGCUCGUAAAGGUCUGGCCUACGGGCCGGGCGUUGGUCGUUGCCGAAGAGCCAUGGUACCGUAUGCGAUGCCUAGCUUGGAGGUUGCGGCUUGCGUUCGGUUCCCUGACCGACUCUCGGUGUAGAAGCUGGUCAUCUUUCCGACCCGUCUUGAAACACGGACCAAGGAGUUUAGCGUAUGCGCGAGUCAUUGGGUGCCAAAACCCAUAGGCGUAAUGAAAGUAAAGACUCGGUCGCCGAGUUGACAUGUGAGUGGUUUGGCCUCGGCCCGAUCACGCAGCAUGGUCCCGUUGCGGUCGCUUGCGACGUGGCGGAGACAGAGCGUAUGCGCUGAGACCCGAAAGAUGGUGAACUAUUCCUGAGCAGGACGAAGCCAGAGGAAACUCUGGUGGAAGUCCGAAGCGAUUCUGACGUGCAAAUCGAUCGUCUGA
rnacentral:rRNA from 1 species